rnacentral:rRNA from 13 species
UGCAGUUAAAAAGCUCGUAGUUGGAUUUCUGCCGAGGACGACCGGUCCGCCCUCUGGGUGAGUAUCUGGCUCGGCCUGGGCAUCUUCUUGGAGAACGUAGCUGCACUUGACUGUGUGGUGCGGUAUCCAGGACAUUUACUUUGAGGAAAUUAGAGUGUUUCAAGCAGGCAUACGCCUUGAAUACAUUAGCAUGGAAUAAUAAGAUAGGACCUCGGUUCUAUUUUGUUGGUUUCUAGAGCUGAGGUAAUGAUUAAUAGGGAUAGUUGGGGGCAUUCGUAUUUAACUGUCAGAGGUGAAAUUCUUGGAUUUUUGGAAGACAAACUACUGCGAAAGCAUUUACCAAGGAUGUUUUCAUUAAUCAAGAACGAAAGUUAGGGGAUCGAAGACGAUCAGAUA